CCAGCAGCCGCGGUAAUACGAAGGGUGCAAGCGUUACUCGGAAUUACUGGGCGUAAAGCGUGCGUAGGUGGUUUGUUAAGUCUGGAGUGAAAUCUCGCCGCUCAACGGCGGGGCUGCUUUGGAUACUGCAUAUCUGGAGAUCGGUAGAGGCUGGUAGAAUUGCUGGUGUAGCGGUGGAAUGCGUAGAGAUCAGCAAGAAUACCCGUGGCGAAGGCGGCCAGCUGGGCCGAAUCUGACGCUGAGGCGCGAAAGCGUGGGGAGC
rnacentral:rRNA from 1 species